rnacentral:lncRNA from 1 species
UUAACAGCUUGAGGGAGAAUAGACAUAGUUCUGGAAGCAGAAAAACAUUAAGGGGGAAAGGGUGGCGGCAGGCUGUGUGGGGACCAACCACUGAAACAGGAGUGGAUUGCUAUAGAUUAACUUUUACGAUACCCCUUAGCAAUCUGGCAGAAGGGAGACUGUGUGGAGUUAGCAGAGCAGUGGGAAAGACUUCCUGAGGGAUUUUUGCAAAUAUUGCCUUCUGUUCCUGAAAGACCGUGUCAUUUGCACAAGGCCGGGGAGUAAGUACAGGUGGAGGAAAAGGAAGAAUGGAGCUCUCACCCCAGGUAAGCCUCACUGUCCAUCCUAAAUUUCUGAAGACUUUCCUAGAUUCUCCAGAAGAAACGGCUGGGAGGGAAAUUCCUGCUGCUCAGGAAGAGAGACUGGAAGCACUUUUAAAUUUCUGUCCAACAUUAGUAUUUUUUUUUCCACACUGAGUUUCUGAGGUAAAUAGUAGUAGACACUGACAAAGUCCAUGCACUGUGUUCAUACAUUUGUGCAAAUCUGGAUAUAUCUGGCCACUUUCAGGGAGGAACAUACUGGGGAGGGGGGGAGGGAAGAAAGCCUGGGAUGUUUAUGGGACAAGAAAGAAUCAAAAGUGACGAGAAACUGUUCAAUGUGACAUUCCAAAACAUUUUUUUUCCUGCCCACUACGCAGGCUUGAACUCUGUGCAUGAUAACCGUGUGUCUGGCAAACUGAGAAAGCAUCACAUACUGUAUGCUGAUGGGAAAGUGUACCCGAGUUCUGAUCAUUUCGAUUUUGACAUGUCUCUCUCAGAUUCCUCAGGUGAAACUGCAGCAGAGCUGUAUGAACACUGACCAGUGAGUACUUACAUCAAUUUUAACACUUUUAGAAGAGUAAAAUACUAGAGAGAAAUGGCGGUGAACAGGUUUUUUUGGUGGGAUGUGCUCAAUUUCGGUUGCAGAUAAAUUGGAAAAGCUGGUUGGGUAGCUCAGUGGUUAAGGUAUCUGGCUGUGGAGCCAGAGGUUGGUAGUUUAAUUCCCCACCGAACCUCCUAAAAAAAAAGAGACAGCCAAUGUAGCCAUGGGCAAGCUGCACAGUCCCAGGGACCCCCCCCCCCAGAACAAGGGAAUGUGAAACCCCUUCUAAGUACUAUCUAUCUGGAAAACCCUAAAAAGGGUCACUAUAAAUUGACUUGAUGGCAUGUAAAAUCAUAAUUGACUUGGACGGGGCUUUGUAGGAGAGUCGGGAGCAACAGACUGGAUCCCCACCGGCCAAUCAGGGCCAGUUUAGGGAUCUCUAGCAGCUGUCCCUCCUCGCUCCCCAGAUCACGUGGAUCCUGCCAUGGCUAUUCUGGUGCCCCAAACCCAAGGUGCGACCUCCUCAGCAGCACCUAGGGGUGCCCAGAUAAGUCUGCAUCCUCAUUUUACCAUCUAGCCUAAUGGCUUUUAUUUAUAAACCCCUUUGUUUAUAAGAUCCAGCUUGUGGUUUUUAAUUUUGCUGGAAAGUAAGAUAGGAAGGUAUGGAAUAAAUCGAUAACACCACCAGCCGAACUUUCUUAU